AGGACAGUGGAACUCCAUGUGUAGCGGUGAAAUGCGUAGAUAUAUGGAAGAACACCAGUGGCGAAGGCGGCUGUCUGGUCUGUAACUGACGCUGAGGCUCGAAAGCAUGGGUAGCGAACAGGAUUAGAUACCCUGGUAGUCCAUGCCGUAAACGAUGAAUGCUAGGUGUUGGAGGGUUUCCGCCCUUCAGUGCCGCAGCUAACGCAUUAAGCAUUCCGCCUGGGGAGUACGACCGCAAGGUUGAAACUCAAAGGAAUUGACGGGGGCCCGCACAAGCGGUGGAGCAUGUGGUUUAAUUCGAAGCAACGCGAAGAACCUUACCAGGUCUUGACAUCUUUUGAUCACCUGAGAGAUCAGGUUUCCCCUUCGGGGGCAAAAUGACAGGUGGUGCAUGGUUGUCGUCAGCUCGUGUCGUGAGAUGUUGGGUUAAGUCCCGCAACGAGCGCAACCCUUAUGACUAGUUGCCAGCAUUUAGUUGGGCACUCUAGUAAGACUGCCGGUGACAAACCGGAGGAAGGUGGGGAUGACGUCAAAUCAUCAUGCCCCUUAUGACCUGGGCUACACACGUGCUACAAUGGAUGGUACAACGAGUUGCGAGACCGCGAGGUCAAGCUAAUCUCUUAAAGCCAUUCUCAGUUCGGACUGUAGGCUGCAACUCGCCUACACGAAGUCGGAAUCGCUAGUAAUCGCGGAUCAGCACGCCGCGGUGAAUACGUUCCCGGGCCUUGUACACACCGCCCGUCACACCAUGAGAGUUUGUAACACCCGAAGCCGGUGGCGUAACCCUUUUAGGGAGCGAGCCGUCUAAGGUGGGACAAAUGAUUAGGGUGAAGUCGUAACAAGGUAGCCGUAGGAGAACCUGCGGCUGGAUCACCUCCUUUCUAAGGAA
rnacentral:rRNA from 2 species